UGCUGAAGGGCCCUACAGCUUCUCACAGAUGGCGUUCGUAAACAAUAAUUGCUGUUGGUAAGACUGGUUGGCCCUCAAUCUUUUGAAGUCUUGCUAACGAAUGAAGAAAUGAACAGAAGGGGUCUACAAGCACAAGGAUUGCUUGUGAUCGGUUUUAGUUUAGGGACAUUUCUCUGCACCUAUGGAUGCAGCCAUUGCCUGGCC
rnacentral:misc_RNA from 1 species